GAUGAACGCUAGCGGCAGGCCUAACACAUGCAAGUCGAGGGGCAGCAUAAAUAAAGCUUGCUUUAUUGGUGGCGACCGGCGCACGGGUGCGUAACGCGUAUGCAACCUACCCCGUACUGAGGGAUAGCCCGGAGAAAUUCGGAUUAAUACCUCAUAGUAUAAUUGAAUCGCAUGGUUUGAUUAUUAAAGGUUACGGUACGGGAUGGGCAUGCGUCCUAUUAGCUAGAUGGUAAGGUAACGGCUUACCAUGGCAACGAUAGGUAGGGGGCCUGAGAGUGUGGUCCCCCACACUGGUACUGAGACACGGACCAGACUCCUACGGGAGGCAGCAGUGAGGAAUAUUGGUCAAUGGGCGCAAGCCUGAACCAGCCAUGCCGCGUGCAGGAAGAAGGUCCUAUGGAUUGUAAACUGCUUUUAUUUGGGAAUAAACCUCUUUACGUGUAGAGAGCUGAAGGUACCAAAUGAAUAAGCACCGGCUAACUCCGUGCCAGCAGCCGCCGUAACAC
rnacentral:rRNA from 1 species